UGUGUUCAAGAUCUUUCUAUAGUUUGGGCC
rnacentral:piRNA from 1 species